rnacentral:rRNA from 1 species
CGCGUAGGCGGCUAGACAAGUCAAAGGUGAAAUCCCUCGGCUCAACUGAGGAACUGCCUUUGAAACUGUGUGGCUCGAGGCCGGGAGGGGGUAGCGGAAUUCCCAGUGUAGCGGUGAAAUGCGUAGAUAUUGGGAGGAACACCAGUGGCGAAGGCGGCUACCUGGACCGGUACUGACGCUGAUGCGCGAAAGCGUGGGUAGCAAACA